rnacentral:rRNA from 1 species
GUGCAGUCGAGGGGCAGCAUGAUAAGUAGCGAUACUUAUUGAUGGCGACCGGCGCACGGGUGAGUAACGCGUAUGCAACUUACCUAUCAGAGGGGGAUAGCCCGGCGAAAGUCGGAUUAAUACUCCAUAAAACAGGGGUUCCGCAUGGGACUAUUUGUUAAAGAUUCAUCGCUGAUAGAUAGGCAUGCGUUCCAUUAGGCAGUUGGCGGGGUAACGGCCCACCAAACCGACGAUGGAUAGGGGUUCUGAGAGGAAGGUCCCCCACAUUGGUACUGAGACACGGACCAAACUCCUACGGGAGGCAGCAGUGAGGAAUAUUGGUCAAUGGCCGAGAGGCUGAACCAGCCAAGUCGCGUGAAGGAUGAAGGAUCUAUGGUUUGUAAACUUCUUUUAUAGGGGAAUAAAGUGUGGGACGUGUCCCAUUUUGUAUGUACCCUAUGAAUAAGCAUCGGCUAACUCCGUGCCAGCAGCCGCGGUAAUACGGAGGAUGCGAGCGUUAUCCGGAUUUAUUGGGUUUAAAGGGUGCGUAGGUGGUAAUUUAAGUCAGCGGUGAAAGUUUGUGGCUCAACCAUAAAAUUGCCGUUGAAACUGGGUUACUUGAGUGUGUUUGAGGUAGGCGGAAUGCGUGGUGUAGCGGUGAAAUGCAUAGAUAUCACGCAGAACUCCAAUUGCGAAGGCAGCUUACUAAACCAUAACUGACACUGAAGCACGAAAGCGUGGGUAUCAAACAGGAUUAGAUACCCUGGUAGUCCACGCAGUAAACGAUGAUUACUAGGAGUUUGCGAUACACAGUAAGCUCUACAGCGAAAGCGUUAAGUAAUCCACCUGGGGAGUACGCCGGCAACGGUGAAACUCAAAGGAAUUGACGGGGGCCCGCACAAGCGGAGGAACAUGUGGUUUAAUUCGAUGAUACGCGAGGAACCUUACCCGGGUUUGAACGUAGUCA